UACGUAGGGUGCGAGCGUUAAUCGGAAUUACUGGGCGUAAAGCGUGCGCAGGCGGUUCGUUAAGUUCGUCGUGAAAGCCCCGGGCUCAACCUGGGAACUGCGAUGGAAACUGGUGGGCUUGAGUGUGGCAGAGGGGGGUGGAAUUCCGCGUGUAGCAGUGAAAUGCGUAGAGAUGCGGAGGAACACCGAUGGCGAAGGCAGCCCCCUGGGCCAACACUGACGCUCAGGCACGAAAGCGUGGGGAGCAAACAGG
rnacentral:rRNA from 1 species